rnacentral:lncRNA from 1 species
AUGAUGUUCAGAGGUGUCGCUAACUUAUUUGUCCCACUGCUUCUGUCUCCAGGCAUUUUGAGUGGCAGCGGAGUUUCCCAGUGGCCUCCAGCUGUAGUGGAGAGGGUAGCAGAAAGCAGACAACUCAUUUGUAGCCACAACAAUUCAGAUGCCUUCUUCAUGUACUGGUACAAGCGAAAGGAGCGGAGCAGAGCCCUCACACUGGUGGGCUACCUUUACUCAGAUCUGCCCAACAUGGAACCCGACUUCACUGAGCCUCCCUUCAGUCGCUUCAGUCUCCAGGGACACUCGGGGGGCCGCGGAGAACUGCGGAUAUCUAAUCUUACCACAGAGGACUCUGGGGAGUAUUUCUGCGCCGUCAGCUUGACACAACGCUUCAGACCCCUGUCCUUGCUCUACAGAAACCCCUCUCUCCCUUAACCCCAUGUCGGCGCCUACGUCCUUUGUCCUGAUCAUACCUGAUUCUGGCUAUGCACGCGUUGCGAGGCAGGUGAAGGAGAUGCUUUGUGAUCUGAUUGUGAAUAAAACUAUGAGUGUAAGCAGACAAUGAGGAUUAGGACAAUGUCAGUACAAACGAGGCAUGUUAGAGCCAUGUAUAAAGAGGGCUUCUGGGCUCAGCCCAUACUGGAAAUUACACCAUAAAACGGAAAAACUGAAAAACUUAAUGAAACUUAAUCGAUGUAUUUGUGUGGCUUAGGGUGGUCCAGUAGUCUAAACCCCUCCCCCUGGUACACAUGGACUAAUGCAGCAUGAGUUUUCAUCUGUUAACCCAUUCCUGUCCAAUAAAUCAUGAAACAUUUAUUUGUGAACUUUUGAAGAGUCCUUUGUUUCUGAUUCUUGUUCUUUGUUGUUUUUUCUUUCUUGCCAUGUAAAUAAAGAUCAGUCAGACAUCGUUGUUGUGGUUACAGACGUUGUGAUGAUGUUAUUUCCUGCCUGUUCCCUUUCCCCAAACAGCUCAGGGAUGCUAAUACUCUGUCACCCCUGACAGCAGUCAACAUGAUCCCAGGUCUCAUCUCUCUCACUGUCUUCUUGUGCUGUCUUACAGGUACUGAGGGGAUUUAUGGCAGACAAGAAUAAUGGUCUGUAGACUGGCCUGUUAGUGUCAGUAUAUUAGUCUGUAGACUGGCCUGUCAGUGUCACUAUAUUUGCCUGUAGACUGACCUGUCAGUGUCACCAUAUUGGUCUGUAGACUGGCCUGUCAGUGUCACCAUAUUUGUCUGUAGACUGGCCUGUCAGUGUCAGUAUACUAGUCUGUAAACUAGCCUGUUAGUGUCCGUAUAUUGGUCUGUAGACUGGCCUGUCAGUGUCAGUAUAUUUGUCUGUAGACUGGCCUUUCAGUGUCAGUAUAUUAGUCUGUAGACUGGCCUGUCAGUGUCAGUAUAUUAGUCUGUAGACUGGCCUGUCAGUAUCAGUAUGUUAGUCUGUAGACUGGCCUGUCAGUAGAGGGAGACACAGCCCCAAUUUUAUUUCAGUUCUCAAGAGGAAGUGGUGGUGGAUAAACCCUCUCUGCUCUCCACACCCUCUCUGUUCUCUCAGUUGUUUUUCCUCCUCUCUCUCACUUUCUUCAUACAUCACUGCACUGGAAGG